rnacentral:rRNA from 1 species
ACUCCUGCGGGAGGCAGCAGUGGGGAAUUUUGGACAAUGGGCGCAAGCCUGAUCCAGCCAUGCCGCGUGCGGGAAGAAGGCCUUCGGGUUGUAAACCGCUUUUGUCAGGGAAGAAAAGGUUCUGGCUAAUACCUGGGACUCAUGACGGUACCUGAAGAAUAAGCACCGGCUAACUACGUGCCAGCAGCCGCGGUAAUACGUAGGGUGCAAGCGUUAAUCGGAAUUACUGGGCGUAAAGCGUGCGCAGGCGGUUUUGCAAGACAGAGGUGAAAUCCCCGGGCUCAACCUGGGAACUGCCUUUGUGACUGCAUGGCUAGAGUACGGUAGAGGGGGAUGGAAUUCCGCGUGUAGCAGUGAAAUGCGUAGAUAUGCGGAGGAACACCGAUGGCGAAGGCAAUCCCCUGGACCUGUACUGACGCUCAUGCACGAAAGCGUGGGGAGCAAACAGGAUUAGAUACCCGUGUAGUCCCA